AAACCUACCUCAUCUUUCUUAUCUACCUUUCCGUCCUUGCGUCUUAUCGCUGCGCUUCUUCUCCUUCGUCUCUUCCUCGAUCCGUUUUCUCCUCAGAUCUUGAUCGCCAUGAGCGUUCUCGUCGGCCGUUCGCUUCGGAUCCAGGCAGAUCGCACGGCGAUCUAUCGAUCGAGUAUGGUUUCGCCCGCUGCGUCGAUCGUUCGGGGUCGAGGCGCGGCUUGUCCAUGCUCGUCGAUGAGACGUCUUCGCCGUCCGUCCGGUUCGCUGCGAGUGUCUCGAUCGAUUUCCUCGCUGAUCGACGAGUUCUGAGGUCUUUUCCCCGAUGGAUUUUCCCUCGGAUCGGCGGCGUUGACCGGUGAGGCUGGAGUCUUUUUGCGCCUCCUGAUAUGCAAGACUUUGGACUGACCGUUGAACUGAUGGCGCCGAUGGAGUCUUAUGUGUUGUUCCGCUCUUGUUUGAUGGAAGCGGUCAACCUGCUUGGGCCAUCCCUCGAUGUGCUGGUCAGUUUCUCGGCCAAGAUGGGCCGGAUUGAUGGAUAUCGACCGCCAAAGGGUUUGUUGUGUAUGUUCUGUUGGUACUUAGUGAACCGAUGCCACAUCGCUGUGUAUAUAACAGGUUGUGUUAGCAUGUCAUGGAGAUAGAGAUGGCGUGUUGAGGGCAGAAAAUUCCGGGGAGGUUGUUUUAGAUGUGAGGGUGAGAAAAAAAGAAGAGUGGAUGUGUUCGACCUUUGCCAUGACAGGUGCGCUUGCAUGGCAGGUCACAGAAACCAAAUAAAAGCACUUCUUUUUUGGUGUUUGAAGGGGGAGAUGGCACGGGGCUUUUGUCUCUUUUGCCCGGCUCUCCCCCUUCCUGCGUCUCGUGUCCCGGUUUCCUCUUUUUCCUUAUUCUCGUUUCGCUCGUUGUGCACAUCCCUAUCGUCCGCCUGUGCAUAGUGAUCCUAUGCAAAUUGCACCGAGUGCGGAAACAUCAGUAGAAUGCAGGGAAACGAAAGCCGUGAUGCUAGUUAAACUAGUAAUUCUCGUUGGUUGAAGUGGCCUUGGUGCACCUUCACGUUCAAUGGCACGAUGAUAGCCACCUCGAUGCAAGGAAAGUCCCGGAUUAUAAUCAAAUUCCACCAUAAGGUACAUCUUAAAUUUUGCGCCUUUCAUUGUGCUCAUACUGCCUAUGACGGCACUAUGCGAAGUUUAAUGGCGUGCAAAUUAUCUGCUUGACUGAUGACUUGAUGGAUUCCAAAAGAACUUCACUCUCACUUGCGGCCGUUUUAUCCUUUGUAAGCCUGAUUAAUGAUGGUAAUAUGGGUUCUCAAAUAAUUGAUGACAGAUCAAGAUUUCAUGAGCUCGUUAUUCUUUUGAAAUUUCUUGAAAAUUGCUUCAGCUCCGUUUGCAUUUGGUGACCCUGGUGACCCUGGUAAACAUCACACGAUAUCCUUACUAAUGCUCAAGAAGAUACACUAACAACGAUUCUUGCAUUUAAAGUGGAUGCUUCCCAAGAAAUUGGAAGUUUGUCUUAAUCAGAUACAUAGGUUAUAUAUGGAAAUUGACUACUUAUACAUUGAAGCAGUUCCUACGCAUUGUUUGCUUGUGGAUGAGAGUUCUCUUUUAUUUUUAUUUUUUAUUUUGGCACUAUCCUGCGUUGCCUUUUAUUGUUCUUGUUCGGAAAUGAUAGUACAUAAAGACGAUUCCUGAUAUGGAAUGUCAAAGCAUUCUGAAGAUGGUGUAAGGUGAAAGAUAGUGUUUUGAGAUGUAUGUUGUAGAGAUUUGUGUUGUUUGAGCGAGGUUUGCUGCUCUGCUGAGCGGUAUCAGAUUUUUCAAGUCAUUGGAUCAAAUGAAAUAGCCGAUGCCAGAUCAACCUGAUUGUGCGGACUGAAGCGGUGUGGAGCGCUGGGAUGCCAAAUCAACUAGGAUGGCUUAAAUUUGUCUGAUGGGUUUGAUUCUUUUGACUGGUUUACAGAGCUGGAAGUCAUUGAUGUUUCACGUACGCUGAGCCUCUGACCUAUCCAUGAAGAGACUCAAUUGAAGUUGAUCGCUCCAUGGCUUUAUUGGAAGAAUUCCUCCAGCUGCGUGGAUGGUCCUUCAUAGCUGUCUCACGAAAACCAAGACGGUGAUAAUCUGCCUAAAUUGUCCAUUCUCUUUGGCUGCAUUAGUAGUGCCAGUUCAUAUAUUUGAGUUCAAUAAUUGAACUAAGUGAAGCACCUGCACGACGGAGCGUGCGAGUGAUGCAUUCUCCACUUGUGGUAGCAUCUGUUUUUGACGCCUGAUAAUCUUCCUUGCUUCAGUUGCGUUAAAGCUGAAUUCGAGGACCAAAAUAUAAAAAUCGAAGUAGUCCAGAUUUUGGGAAUUUCCCGCAGGAUUAGUAAUGGAGUAUGAAUUGCGGGUCAGUGUCCCCCUGAAUGUUUACUGUGUGCGCUUUGCUGAAGUUGGCAUUGUAUGUACUUUUAUGACAAGAUGCUUAGUCGUAAUCCUCUCCGAUUAUUUUAUGGUGUCGCUGAAGUUGCUCGAGGUAAAAAAGGUUCUGCUCAGAGUGGUUGGGUUGUAUUGUUCUUCAAAACUAAAGAAAAAUAACGUACAUUUUGUUUUUU